CCUACGGGUGGCAGCAGUGCGGAAUAUUGGUCAAUGGACGGGAGGCUGAACCAGCCAAGUCGCGUGAGGGAAGACGGCCCUACGGGUUGUAAACCUCUUUUGUCUGGGAGCAAAGUGCAGGCCGUGACCUGCUGUGAGAGUACCAGAAGAAAAAGGAUCGGCUAACUCCGUGCCAGCAGCCGCGGUAAUACGGAGGAUGCGAGCGUUAUCCGGAUUUAUUGGGUUUAAGGGGUGCGCAGGCGGAGGCACAAGGCAGCGGUAAAAUGGCGGGGCUCAACCCCGCUCAGCCGUUGAUACUGUGUCUCUUGAGUGCGCGAAGGGUAGGCGGAAUGCGUGGUGUAGCGGUGAAAUGCAUAGAUAUCACGCAGAACUCCGAUCGCGAAGGCAGCCUACCGGCGCGCAACUGACGCUCAUGCACGAAAGCGUGGGUAUCGAACAGGAUUAGAUACCCGUGUAGUC
rnacentral:rRNA from 1 species